rnacentral:rRNA from 1 species
AUUGAACGCUGGCGGCAUGCCUUACACAUGCAAGUCGAACGGCAGCACGGGGGCAACCCUGGUGGCGAGUGGCGAACGGGUGAGUAAUACAUCGGAACGUGCCCCGUAGCGGGGGACAACCAGUCGAAAGACUGGCUAAUACCGCAUACGCUCCACGGAGGAAAGCAGGGGAUCGCAAGACCUUGCACUAUGGGAGCGGCCGAUGCCCGAUUAGCUAGUUGGUGAGGUAAAGGCUCACCAAAGGCAACGAUCGGUAGCUGGUCUGAGAGGACGACCAGCCACACUGGGACUGAGACACGGCCCAGACUCCUACGGGAGGCA